rnacentral:rRNA from 1 species
GGAAUUUUGGACAAUGGGCGCAAGCCUGAUCCAGCCAUCCCGCGUGCAGGAAGACGGCCCUACGGGUUGUAAACUGCUUUUGUCAGGGAAGAACUCCCCGCAUUCCUGCGGGGCUGACGGUACCUGAGGAAUAAGCACCGGCUAACUCCGUUCCAGCAGCCGCGGUAAUACGGAGGGUGCAAGCGUUAUCCGGAAUUACUGGGUUUAAAGGGUGCGUAGGCGGUGGCGUAAGUCAGAAGUGAAAGUUGACGGCUUAACCGUAAAAUUGCUUUUGAUACUGCGUUACUUGAAUCAGGUUGAGGUCGGCGGAAUGUGGCGUGUAGCGGUGAAAUGCUUAGAUAUGCCAUAGAACACCAAUUGCGAAGGCAGCUGGCUGGACCUGAAUUGACGCUGAGGCACGAAAGCGUGGGGAGCGAAC